GAUGAAGAACGUAGCGAAAUGCGAUACUUGGUGUGAAUUGCAGAAUCCCGUGAACCAUCGAGUCUUUGAACGCAAGUUGCGCCCGAAGCCAUUAGGCCGAGGGCACGCCUGCCUGGGUGUCGCACAUCGUUGCCCCAAUGCCUCAGCCCUGUUGCAAGGCAUGGCAAAGGGGCGAAUGUUGGCUUCCCGCGAGCGAUGCCCUCACGGUUGGCUGAAAAUCGAGUCCGUGGUGGAGUGUGCCGCGAUGGAUGGUGGUUGAGUGAUGAUGCUCGAGACCAAUCAUGGGUAACUCCACCAGAAUUGGGCUCGGUGACCCACAUGCGUCCCUUGGAUGCUCCCUAAGGAGACCUCAGGUCAGGCGGGGCUACCCGCUGAGUUUAAGCAUAUCAAUAAGCGGAGGA
rnacentral:misc_RNA from 1 species